CAAUAAUUGAACUGGUGACAUGUUUCAUUCUUGGCUGAUCCUGCAUUCUUGUAUGCAGUGUGUCAACACGGAUUAUCACACACACAUUUAUGGAAACACUUGUUGUACAAACGAACAAGUCCAAACAUUGUACAUGUACACAAUGUACUACAUUAAAACCGCCUCACGCACAGCGGUGAGUAAACGCCAUGGCAACAGGACGGUGACGUUUCACUGAGGUCACCUGAACGCUGCUGGCCAUUCUGAAUUCACUUCUACUGUUGAACUUGACGAGUGUAGCUGUGUUACCUAAAGAGUUGAACGGUCUGAGGCCCAAUCCCGUGGAAAAUAACCUGUGGAGAAUAAAUUGUUGGAGAACCGACCAAAAGUACUAACGAGUGUUACGUGGAGGAGACGAUGUCUUCCAGUGGACCCCCUGCGGUGGAGCCCCUGCUGAGCAGAGUCAGACGGUGGAUCCUUGCCUUUGCAAGUGAACCCCUCUGGCCCCUGUUCGCUGACCGCCCUGUCGUCCAGAGGGCCCUCGACGACGUGGUUCUUCCGGAUUACGAGGACGAGCUGAAGGAGGCCGAGCCCACCAGAGGGGACGGUGAGCCACAGGUUCCUCCUCCUCCUCCCUUUGCUGCUCCCUACCCUGCUCCCUACUCUCACCCCUAUGCUGCUGCACGCUAUGCUGCUGCUCCCUACCCUGCUCCAUACCCUGCUCCCUAUGCUGCUCCCUCUUCUGCUGCUCCCUUUGCUGCUCCCUACCCUGCUCACUACCUUGCUCCUUACCCUGCUCCCUACUCUCACCCCUAUGCUGCUGCACGCUAUGCUGCUGCUCCCUACCCUGCUCCCUACUCUCACCCCUAUGCUACUGCUCGCUAUGCUGCUGCUCCCUACCCUGCUCCCUAUGCUGCUCCCUAUGCUGCUGCUCCCUUUGCUGCUCCCUACCCUGCUCGCUACGUUGCUCCUUACCCUGUUCCCUACUCUCACGCCUAUGCUGCUGCUCCCUAUGCUGCCGCUCCCUAUGCUGCUCCCUAUGCGGCUCCCUAUGCUGCUGCUCCCUAUGCUUAUGCUUUUGCUGCCUUUGCUGACCUUAACGCUGACCCUCACGCUGACCUUAACGCUGACCCUCACGCUGACCCUCAUGCUGACCUUAACGCUGUCCCUCAUGAUGGUGAUGAUGAUAUGAACGAUGAAAUUAACCGUAUGCUUCAAAGAUACAGGUUAGGGCUCCCCGAUGAGGAGGAGGACUCUGACAUUGAUGUCGUGGGUGAGUUUGCGUUACAGGUCCCUUUACUGGACAUUGAAGACAUCGGGCCAGUGCCCCCAGAAGACUCUUUUGAGGAGCUCCUGGAUGCAGAUGUUCUUGAAUCUCCCUCAACUUCUGGCCUCGACUCUUCGGCAAAACGGCGCAGGGACGAGAGCGACGGGGAGGAGUCUGCUGCGAAGAGGGCGCGUUAGUCUGAAGACAGCGACUCUGAUUGACAAUCCUCUGGGAAGCUUCGGAGCAACCACUGAGUCCACUUGCAGCAGGAACAGUGGUUGCCAUGGUAGCCUUUGCGUCUGGCAGGGCUAGUGUCCCCCAUGUAGCGUCUUGCAUUGGGGCUUUUCUGUAUUAUGUAGUCAUAUUUGCACAAGACAUCGGUCAACCUUUAUUUCAUCCUGAGGCCUUUGCGUCUGGCGGGGCUGUUGACCCCUUCUGCAGGUACUGGUAUCCUUUGCGUCUGGCAGGGCUUGUGUCCCCCAUGUAGCGUCUUGCUCUGGGGCUUUUCUUCUUCUUUGCGCGGUGGAUCGAUCAACUUUUCUUUCAUCCUGACGGCCGGCCUUUGCGACUGGCUUGGCCGGCGCUGCCUCAGGUAGCCUUUGCGUCUGGCAGAGGCGUUGACACGCCGAGCAUGUAGCCUUUGCGUCUGGCAGGGUUGAAGAAGACAAAAAUGCUUUUAUGUCUCGUUUUAUGCCUCCCCCUCCCCCACAGUGUCCACAUUCCUUUACAGGUUAAGAGUGAAGGUAUCAGUGAAAACUGACAAACAACAGAGUAAGUAGAACUCCCAAGGUUAGAAAUGCCUUCAUAUGGCCAAAUAUAGUGUAUGCCGUUAUGGAAAUUCAUAAUAUUCAAAUAUUUAUAAUUACUUCCCAUACUAAUCAUGUUUUUAUCCCAUUUGGCCGUGUGAAAAAGUAAGUACCAGCGUCUGUUUUGUUCAGACAGUGACCUAUAACAUGAAUACAAAGAAGUAAUAUGCAAAGAUAAUUUGCCCGUGCCACUUACCAUUAUGUGUUGUUACCUCUCUCACUUUGCCACCUGAGAUGCUGCUGUUCAAUGUGGACGAAAAAGGUAAGUAACUUAGAAUAAUCUGUAACCUACAGGCAACGUUAGAAGUAGGUUCUUUUAUUCUAUUGUAAAUCUGUUUAUGCACUUUGUAUGUUGACUCUAUUAUGCAAAUAUUGUUUUUACUAACCAAUACUUUAACCACGCUCCAACUGAGCUGCUGCUGUUCACCGAGGACCAAAAGGCCGCUACCUCUCGCUGUGGACUAAAAGAUGAGUAAGAGUAUCUGACUUCUGUAAUAUGUAUAUAAAGUAAUGUGUGUUAUUGUGUAAACUAGCUCUUUGUGCACCUCAGUAUCCUUAAACUGUCACUAAUUCAAUAACUCAAAGGUGUUUGUGCCCCAGACAGAAAAGUGUCAAUAGUGAAUGAUAACAUCAAUAUUUAGGUAUAUUUGCUGGCCUUUCUCACUAUGACGUCCACACAGGGAGCAGCAAAGGAGGAAGAGCCGGACUCCGGGUUCCUGCAGGACAUCCAGGGCUACACGUUGAACACUAAAAAGAAACGCCCACAUUCCACUCCCAGGACAAGAUGGAGAGCAGCUAAGUUGAACUACUUCCUGUUCUUCUGUUUCAGAGACUCAACUUCCUGCACUACAUCCAGGGUGACCAUGACGACAGAAGACAAUCGCUCACUCCCGACCAGGGCAGCACUCCUGUUUUAUCCUUUGGAAAUCCUCGUGGUCCUGAGAGUGGAUGUAAACAGAAGUGCAAGCAGCCGUCCACUCAGAACAUUUCUCCACCUCACUGUUUAGAUGAAGAAUUCAAUAAAACACUUCUCAUAGAACCCUUUUGUUUUGGGAGAUUUCUUUGGUUCAAUCUCAUGUUCAUGUGAACCUUUUGGAGCGUUGAAUCGGUCGCAGGUGUCAUGAAAUGCAUCCUGGUUUAAAUGGCCCUAAACCAGCUUUGGAUCUUUCA
ensembl:lncRNA